GAUCAUUACCGAGUCGUCGACAUGAGCUGUUGCUGGUCCUCAAACAUGGGGGCAUGUGCACGCUCUGUUUGCACAUCCAUUCACACCUGUGCACCUAUGUAGUUCUGUGGUCUGGGGGACACCAACCUCCAUCCCCCAUAGUUCUAUGUCUUUACAAAUACACCGUAGCAAAGUCUUGUGGAAUGUGCUCAGCGUUUAACGCAAUACAAUACAACUUUCAGCAACGGAUCUCUUGGCUCUCGCAUCGAUGAAGAACGCAGCGAAAUGCGAUAAGUAAUGUGAAUUGCAGAAUUCAGUGAAUCAUCGAAUCUUUGAACGCACCUUGCGCCCCUUGGCUAUUCCGAGGGGCAUGCCUGUUUGAGUAUCAUGAACACCUCAACUCUCAUGGUUCGCCGUGAUGAGCUUGGACUUUUUGGGGGUUUUGCUGGCCUACGGUCGGCUCCUCUGAAACUGAUCAGCUUGCCAGUGUUUGGUGAAGUCAUGGGUGUGAUAACCGUCUACGCUCGUGAUUGCUCGCCAAGUGACCUUUGGAGGUUCGCUGGAGCUUAUAAACGUCUCUCCUUGGCGGAGACAGCUUUUUGACCGUUCGAUCUCAAAUCAGGUAGG
rnacentral:rRNA from 1 species